UACAGAGGGGGCAAGCGUUGUUCGGAAUUACUGGGCGUAAAGGGCGCGUAGGCGGCCACCUAAGUCAGACGUGAAAUCCCUCGGCUCAACCGGGGAACUGCGUCUGAUACUGGGCGGCUUGAAUUCGGGAGAGGAAUGCGGAAUUCCAGGUGUAGCGGUGAAAUGCGUAGAUAUCUGGAGGAACACCGGUGGCGAAGGCGGCAUCCUGGACCAACACUGACACUGAGGAGCGAAAGCCAGGGGAGCAAACGGG
rnacentral:rRNA from 1 species